rnacentral:rRNA from 1 species
GACGAACGCUGGCGGCGUGCUUAACACAUGCAAGUCGAGCGGAGCGGCGAACGGGUGAGUAACGCGUGAGUAACUGCCCCCCUCUCUGGGAUAACAGUUGGAAACGGCUGCUAAUACCGGAUAGUGGGGGAUGACUCGCGUCCUAUCAGCUUGUUGGUGGGGUAGUGGCUUCCCAAGGCGACGACGGGUAGCCGGCCUGGGAGGGCGACCGGCCACAUUGGGCUGAGAUACGGGCCGAGCUCCUACGGGAGGAAGCAGUGGGGACUUGUGCACAAUGGGGGGAGCCCUGAUGCAGCAACGCGCGUGCGGGAUGACGGCCUUCGGGUUGUAAACCGCUUUCAGCCAUAACGCGGUAGUGGCAGAAGAAGCACCGGCUAACUACGUGCCAGCAGCCGCGGUAAUAC